CACAAGUGUGUGGAAGCAGCUUUAUUGCAACAACAAAAAAAUAUACAACCUGGAUUUUUAAGAAGCGCUAGCCAGGAGAGCUGUGUCAACAGACGGGGGACUCGCAAACAAACCUGGCACCAAUCCGCAAACCAGCUGCAGACGCGCCAGGAAGAAGACGACGGGUAUGCCGUACUUGAUCCUCAUCCUCCUGGAUGCUUCUACAAGCUGCUUCUCCAACGGGUUCUGCCAAAUCUCCAGCAACGUCACCUUCAAAGAGCCUCGCCGCUAUUCGGACUCGCCGCGGCGGACACGUUGCCGUGUUUCCACCUGUGGGUAAAGCCGACCGCAACGAAACAAGACAACUUCAGAAUAAAAGUCGGUGGGAUCUGAUAAAGCAAACUUUAACCAAAAGAAUAUCCAACAUUUCUGAGUUGAAGGAAUGAGCUGAGGGCGCACAAUGGAAUACUUGGAAAUCCCAUUUGUGAUAUCUGCAAGAGUAUAUCACCCAGGAGUUGCCAACAAAGCGACUCACCUGCGUUGUCAAUUCCACCAGCGCAAAAGAGAAGCAAAAGAGCGACGACGAUGUGUUCUCUGGCCAUCGUCUCGUAGAUGGGAUUAAACCAAAGGCGAAGUAUUCAUUUAAGUCAUUGGUCUCACUUUAAUUCAACGCAGCGUCGAACAUCGGCUUCCUUCUACAGGACAGGUGCGUCACGGUGGGCGUGGCCAAGGGGCGUCCUCUAUUGUAGGUGAUGCCGUGUUCCAAAUGUGGAUUAUUUAUGGAACUUGUGUGAAACUAUUGCUUUACAUUUUGUUUCAUAUAUAUAAUUUGCAUUCUUUUUUAGAUACUUUAUUGAGUUUAAAACCUCU